rnacentral:rRNA from 1 species
GUGAGGAAUAUUGGUCAAUGGGCGAGAGCCUGAACCAGCCAUGCCGCGUGCAGGAAGACGGCCCUAAGGGUUGUAAACUGCUUUUAUACGGGGGUAAUUUUCGGUUUGCGAACCGAAUUGAAAGUACUGUAAGAAUAAGCGUCGGCUAACUACGUGCCAGCAGCCGCGGUAAUACGUAGGACGCGAGCGUUAUCCGGAUUUAUUGGGUUUAAAGGGUGCGUAGGCGGACCUAUAAGUCAGUGGUGAAAGACUGUUGCUUAACGAUAGCAUUGCCAUUGAUACUGUAGGUCUUGAGUACAGUUGAGGUAGGCGGAAUGUGUAGUGUAGCGGUGAAAUGCUUAGAUAUUACACAGAACACCGAUUGCGGAGGCAGCUUACUAAGCUGUAACUGACGCUGAUGCACGAAAGCGUGGGGAUCAAACAGGAUUAGAAACCCUAGUAGUCC